CUCCUUUGCCAAUGACCCGCCGGGCCGUCACAAAGGGCAUAUUAAAAAACACCACUUUUGGGGGGAAGCGGCAAUAUCUUGUGCUGUUAAGCUUCGAUCAGUUAUGUGACAAAG
rnacentral:snoRNA from 1 species